CUCAUUUUUCCCGGGCUUUCGGUCGGCGUUUUCGUUUUCUCGCGGGUUUGGGCGCGCAUCGAACUCUGAAGGGUCGGGAAGGCCUGUCGUUGGAAUGUGGUUGAGUUCCAGGGAGUGUACAGGCUGGAGGAUGGGACAAGACCUAUCUCUGUAUCGAUCAAGCACGGCGUUGGUGUUCCAGCUCAUCACCAAUCCUAAGGAAUUCAAGUGCCUCCCAGGAUGAAUACAGGUUGUCUUGAUGGUGAUACAUUCAUCUGUCUUAAGAUCCCUGCUGAUCUGCUCAUGGUCAAACUCAUGGAAAGAGUUGAGAGUGGGGCACCUUGUUCCUGCAUCCUCAAAGGAGCAUCUUGUUCCAGAGUUAAAAGGUUCCAGAGUUAAAAGGUACCUGUACCAUUUAGCGGCUUGUUCACUCAAAGAUCCAUCUUUUCUGGAGCCUGAGGAUGAUUGGAGGUAAAUCUGUUUAUCUAUGGCUGCUAUGUAAAGUUUGCCAGUUUUUGUGUGGCACUUUGGAUAGUUGUGCAGGUAUUACUUAAUCCAAAGUCUGCCUUUGGCCAUUUGUGAACCACCUGAAACAGAUUUCUGCUCACAUGAUGAGUUUGAUACCGCCCCAGUCUGAUCACUAUGACUGAAAGGUAUUUUCUGAGCUGUGAGUUUGCCUUAGAGUGGGAAGUUAGUCUUUUUAUAAAAUGUCUGUUGAGACCUACACAGCCUAUUAGGGUGUCCCAUUCCUCUGGGAAUGGUUGACUUAGUUCCCAAUCUCUGUUUUGCAGGUGAAAGGUGUAAGCCAUACUCUGCUCAACUCCAGUCUGAAACUAAGGUUAAAAGAACACGUACUUAACACACGGGUAAGAAUCCAACUCUUGGAGGACAUCAGAAGUGGAAUUUUCUUAUACAACCUACCUAUUCAAAUUAGCAUAUAAUCUUUCUAGCCUUUCUAAAUAAAUAAAGGGAUUUUUUUG
rnacentral:lncRNA from 1 species